rnacentral:rRNA from 1 species
AUAUAGGUCAAGCUACAAAGGGCGCAUGGUGAAUGCCUUGGCAUCAGGAGCCGAUGAAGGACGUGAUAAGCUGCGAUAAGCUUCGGGUAGGCGCACAUAGCCUGAGAUCCGAAGAUCUCCGAAUGAGGAAACUCACAUGGGAAACCCCAUGUAUCAUUAAGUGAAUACAUAGCUUAAUGAAGGUAACCCAGGGAACUGAAACAUCUAAGUACCUGGAGGAAGAGAAAGAAAAAUCGAUUUUCUUAGUAGCGGCGAGCGAAAGGGAAAUAGCCCAAACCGGAAACUUGUUUCCGGGGUUGAGGACAUAACAUAAAGAGAAGUAAUGGCUAAUUGAAGAGAACUGGAAAGUUCCACCGUAGAAGGUAAUAGUCCUGUAAAUGAAAGCUAGUAUAAUCGAGUUAUGAUCCAGAGUACCACGAGACACGUGAAACCUUGUGGGAAGCAGGGAGGACCACCUCCCAAGGCUAAAUACUACCUGAUGACCGAUAGUGAAGCAGUACCGUGAGGGAAAGGUGAAAAGAACCCCGGGAGGGGAGUGAAAUAGAACCUGAAACCGUGUGCCUACAACCACUCAGAGCCCCUUAUGAGGGUGAUGAGGUGCUUUUUGUAGAACGAGCCAACGAGUUACGGUAUGUAGCAAGGUUAAGUACUUAAGGUACGGAGCCGAAGGGAAACCGAGUCUGAAUAGGGCGACUAGUUGCAUGCCGUAGACCCGAAACCGGGUGACCUAUCCAUGGCCAGGUUGAAGCGAGGGUAAAACCUCGUGGAGGACCGAACCACGUUGCUGUUGAAAAAGCAUGGGAUGAGCUGUGGAUAGCGGAGAAAUUCCAAUCGAACCCGGAGAU